UAAUCAGGUGAAUAAUCCUUACCUGUUCCUCCUUUUGGAGGGCAGAUAGAACAUGAUGAUUGGAGUUCACGUGAUACAUGGUUAGCCUCUCUGAACAAGAUUAGUAUUUCUAUGUAAUCAGGACUUACAACACCCUGAUUGCUCCUAUCUGAU
rfam:Tupaia chinensis contig11745, whole genome shotgun sequence.